UGCCAGCCGCCGCGGUAAGACGGAGGUGGCAAACGUUGCUCGGAAUCACUGGGCUUAAAGGGCGUGUAGGCGGUCUUCCAAGUCGGGUGUGAAAGCCCUCGGCUCAACCGAGGAAUUGCAUCCGAUACUGGUCGACUAGAGUGCGGCAGGGGUGAGUGGAACUCCAGGUGUAGCGGUGAAAUGCGUAGAUAUCUGGAGGAACGCCAAUGGCGAAAGCAACUCACUGGGCCGCAACUGACGCUGAGGCGCGAAAGCUAGGGGAGCGAACGGGAUUAGAUA
rnacentral:rRNA from 1 species